AUGAAUGAGGAGUAUGACAUGAUCAUGCUGGGCACUGGCCUGACGGAAUGUAUCCUGUCAGGUAUAAUGUCAGUGAAUGGAAAGAAAGUUCUUCAUAUGGAUCAAAAUCCAUAUUAUGGAGGAGAAAGUGCAUUCUAUAACACUGCUGGAAGAUUUAAACAAAAGAUUUCAAUUACCAGGAGUACCUCUUAAGUACUGACUUAAUUCCCAAGUUCCUGAUGGCUAAUGGUCAACUGGAUAAGAUGCUGCUUUAUACAGAAGUUAGCCGAUACAUGAAUUUCAAAGUGAUUGAAGGGAUCUUUGUUUAUAAGGAAGAAAAAAUCUAUGAGGUUCCUUCUACUGAAGCAGAAGCCCUGGCAUCUAGUUUAAUGGGACUCUUUGAAAAACAUCGCUUCAAAAAGUUCCUGGUAUAUGUUGCCAACUUUGAUGAAAAAGACCCUAGAACGUUUGAGGGCAUUGAUCCUAAGAAGACCACAAUGAGAGAUCUGUAUAAGAAAUUUGACUUGGGCCAAGAUAUUAUAGAUUUUACUGGUCAUUCUCUUGCACUGUAUUGAACUGAUGGCUACUUAGAUCAGUUAUGUUGUGAAACCAUUGAUAGAAUUAAACUUUACAGUGAGUCUUUGGAAAGAUAGGGCAAGAGCCCAUACCUUUAUCCACUGUAUGGCCUUAGAGAACUGCCACAAGGAUUUGCCAGGCUAAGUGCUAUUUAUGGUGGUACCUACAUGUUGAAUAAACCAACUGAAGAAAUAAUUGUGCAGAAUGGAAAAGUGGUUGGUGUAAAAUCUGAAGGCGAGAUCGCUCAUUGUAAGCAGCUCCUCUGUGACCCAAGUUAUGUAAAGGAUUGGGUAGAAAAAGUAGGCCAGGUGAUCAGAGUUAUAUGCAUCCUCAGCCACCCCAUCAAGAAUACCAAUGAUGCCAAUUCCUGUCAGAUAAUUAUUCCACAGAACCAAGUUAAUUGAAAAUCAGAUAUCUAUGUUUGCAUGAUUUCAUCUGCACACAACAUGGCAGCACAAGGGAAGUACAUUGCAAUUGUUAGUACAACUGUGGAAGCAGAAAAGAAAUCAGACCAGCUUUGGAGUCAUUGGAACUGAAUGAACAGAAGUUUGUUAGCAUCAGUGACCUCCUUCUACCAAAAGACUUGGGAACAGACAGCCAGAUCUUUAUUUCCCAUGCAUAUGAUGCUACAACUCACUUUGAGACAACCUGUGAUGACAUUAAAGACAUCUAUAAAAGGAUGACAGGAUCUGAGUUUGACUUUGAGGAAAUGAAGUGCAAGAAAAAUGAUAUUUAUGGGGAAGACUAA